rnacentral:lncRNA from 1 species
GUCUAUUCGUCAGUCAAAAUGUUAAUCUUGAAGGAGCAAAAGUUUGUUCAUGAGCUGUCAUGCUCGCUAGGCGAGUAGAAUGGGUCGCCUAGCGAGUCCCAAGAAAAGCCACCAGAAUCAUCUACGCUCAGAGGAAUUUCUUGAACUGUCAUGCUCGCUAGGCGAAGCCCACGUGUUUAAAAAAAACGAAAAACGAAAAAAAAAACAUAAAACGAAAAAAAAAACGAAAAAGAAAAACGAAAAAUAAAAAAUAAAAAAUAAAAUAAAAAAUAAAAAA